CCAGUUCUCGCGGUGCUGGCCAGGCUCAGCCUCCUUCCCCUCCCCGGCGAGCGGUGACUGUGCACGGCGGAGCGGGGAGCGCCGAGCCGGGCGCGGGGGGAAGCCCGCGCCGCCCCGCCGAGCCAGGAGGGAGGCCGCCGAGCAGCGCGGCCGCCCGGCCCGUCCCGGCCCGUCCCGGCCGCCCUGCCCCAUGCCCCAGCGGCGCUGAGCCUCCCGCAGCCCGAACAUGGCCACCACGGCAACGUGCACCCGCUUCACCGACGAGUACCAGCUCUACGAGGAGCUCGGCAAGGGAGCCUUCUCUGUGGUCCGCAGAUGUGUAAAGAAGAGUUCAUCACAGGAGUAUGCUGCAAAAAUCAUCAACACCAAAAAACUGUCAGCCAGAGAUCACCAGAAACUGGAACGUGAAGCUCGAAUCUGCCGACUUCUAAAGCAUCCAAAUAUUGUGCGGCUCCAUGACAGUAUUUCAGAAGAAGGUUUCCAUUACCUCGUCUUUGAUCUGGUUACUGGUGGGGAGCUCUUUGAGGAUAUUGUUGCCAGAGAAUACUAUAGUGAAGCAGACGCCAGCCACUGUAUUCAUCAGAUACUGGAGAGUGUGAAUCACAUUCACCAGCACGAUAUCGUGCACAGGGACUUGAAGCCUGAGAACUUACUACUGGCAAGUAAAUGUAAGGGUGCUGCUGUCAAACUGGCUGACUUCGGACUGGCUAUAGAAGUCCAGGGAGAGCAGCAGGCCUGGUUUGGGUUUGCUGGCACUCCAGGCUACCUCUCCCCUGAAGUCUUAAGAAAAGAUCCUUAUGGAAAACCAGUGGAUAUAUGGGCCUGUGGAGUGAUUCUGUACAUAUUACUAGUGGGGUACCCUCCCUUUUGGGAUGAAGAUCAGCACAAACUCUAUCAGCAGAUCAAAGCCGGAGCCUAUGACUUCCCAUCACCUGAGUGGGACACUGUGACUCCAGAAGCAAAGAAUUUGAUCAACCAGAUGCUGACGAUAAACCCGGCAAAGCGCAUCACAGCUGACCAGGCUCUCAAACAUCCAUGGGUCUGCCAACGAUCCACUGUUGCUUCGAUGAUGCACAGGCAGGAGACUGUGGAAUGCUUGAGAAAGUUCAAUGCUAGAAGGAAGCUAAAGGGUGCAAUCCUCACAACAAUGCUUGUGUCUCGGAAUUUUUCAGCUGCCAAAAGCCUGCUGAACAAGAAGUCAGAUGGAGUGAAGAAAAGGAAGUCGAGCUCCAGUGUGCAUUUGAUGCCACAGAGCAACAACAAAACCAGUAUAGUAAGCACUGCAAAAGAAACACCCCCAGUGCAGACGUCCAUGGAGCCUCAAACAACUGUUGUCCAUAAUGCUACAGAUGGCAUAAAGGGUUCCACAGAGAGCUGUAACACCACGACCGAAGAUGAGGAUCUGAAAGCUCCCCCUCUCUCCACCGGGGAUGGCAGCUCAGUGCUUGAAGGACGGAGGCACAGUGAGAGCAAAACACAGACUGAGUCCAUGCAGUCCCAGCUUUCUCUCUGUUUCUCAGCCACUACACAGUCUUGUGAAGAGAAGCUUCUUGCCUGGGACAGCCCAGGGCAGACAUUGGAGUUAGAGCGUGCUCGGUCGGAGCCUUUGCUAACUCCAGUAGUUCCCUUUGUACUUAACCGUGCACCGUUGCGUAAGCAAGAGAUCAUUAAGAUAACAGAGCAGCUGAUAGAAGCCAUCAACAAUGGAGACUUUGAGGCUUAUACAAAAAUCUGUGAUCCUGGCUUGACCUCAUUUGAACCUGAAGCACUGGGGAACCUGGUUGAAGGAAUGGAUUUCCAUAAGUUUUACUUUGAGAACUGUGAGUGGGUAGAUUUGGUAACACCAACAGCUUUCUCUCUGAUCUUCCUUUAUGCCACAUUUUGGGGAGAGAAUUCCCCUUGUUUUUACUGGCUGUCAGAACCAGCAAGAACUUGAUUGUGCAUGGGUUAUGAUGCAUUCAUGAGAGCCAGCAUGCUUUCUCUCAAAAGCCUUUUUCAGCAACAAUUUCAGUUCUAGCCCCCAGAUCCCUUCACUGUAGGCAUACAAUUUGCCGGGCCCAAAUAUUUUGUAAGCAUGGACUGCAGGAGCUUUAGAAGUUUGAGGUGCCGGAUUUCCUGCUGAUAUGGAAGUGGAAAAAAUGAGCAUGUUUUGAUGGAAACGACGUGUGUGUUUGGGGUAGACAUACUGAAUAGUCAGACAUAGUCAUGUACAAAUCAGUCAUGCCUUCGCUGUGAGUUUUCCCUGGACAUUUCAGAUCUCUAACACCUAGUGAAGCCAUUAUGUGGAUACAAGGGUCACCUUGUCAGCCUGGGGCAGGAAAAAGAGUUGGGAGAAAUGCUAUCAUUUAUACUAGUGGAUUUGCCUCCCUUCCUGGAUGUCUUCACAGGAUGAGAUCAUUGAAAUUUAAAUCCUGAGCUGUUCAAUUUGUUUUAUUGUGGGGGUUAGGUCAAGGUCCUUAGUAUAGGCAAUUCCUACUGCUCUAAGUAUGCAGAGACUUUGUCUCUCUCAAAAGCCUGUUCUGGAGUGAUUUUUACACUUCUCUGAGGCUUGUUCAUAUUUAAUGCGGGUCUAGCUUAAAGAUCUGAUUAUUGACUCCUUUGCAACAAUAUUCUGUAAUUAAAAGAUCUUUUCCUAUAACUGAAGAAAUGGCAGCGCUGAUGUUAAAAAAGUGGCGAGUAUGCUUUGCAGAAGAAGUGGGAGCAAAGGGGCCAGGGGAUUCCAGGCAAUAAUAAGUGUGCAGUUCCUAAGGAGAAGAACAGGUGAUAGGGGAAAGAAUUGCUUGGAUUCUGCCUGGAAAAUUGCAGGAGCAAUUAUUAUUGUAUCCCAGAAUCCAGAGGAAGUACUGUCGAAGAACAGCAAGCCAAUACACACCACCAUCCUGAACCCCCAUGUCCAUGUCAUUGGUGAAGAUGCUGCCUGCAUUGCGUACAUCCGCCUGACACAGUACAUCGAUGGCCAAGGCCGGCCCCGCACCACGC